AUGUGUAUACUAUCGCUACGGUGGGGCGAAGGAGUUAUACUGUGUCUGAAUGUCGAUGACAUACUGAUAUUUGGGACCCACCUCAAGGUCAUUGAGGAGGUCAAGGCCUUUCUAUCUCAUAAAUUUGAGAUGAAAGACCUGGGCGUGGCUGAUGUUAUCUUGAACAUCAAGCUACUCAGAAAUACUGAGGGUGGAAUUACACUUUUGCAAUCCCACUAUGUUGAGAAGAUUUUCAGCCGUUUUGGAUAUUCGGAGUGCAAACUUUCUGCAACACCAUAUGAUCCUAGCGUGCGGAUUCAAAAGUUCGAAGGCACGACUGUAGAUCAAUUGAGAUAUUCUCAAGUGGUUGGUUCACUGAUGUACCUAGCUUGUGCUACUCGUCCUGGCAUCUCAUUUGCUGUGUGCAAACUGAGCCGAUUUGUUUCCAAUCCGGGAGAUGUGCAUUGGCAUGUUGUUGAGCGAGUGAUGCAUUACUUGCAAGGCACUGUGAACUAUAGAAUUCACUAUUCUGGGUACCCGACGGUACUUGAGGGGUAUAGUGAUUCGAAUUGGAUAUCUGAUGCUGAUGAGAUGAAAGCCACAAGUGGAUAUGUCUUCACACUUGGUGGUGGUGCUGUUUCCUGCAAGUCUUGCAAGCAGACGAUCUUAACGAGAUCGACUAUGGAAGCAGAACUCAUAGCAUUAGACACAUCAUGCGUCGAAGCAGAAUGGUUCGAGAGCUUUUGA
rnacentral:rRNA from 1 species